AGCGUUGUUCGGAUUUACUGGGCGUAAAGCGCACGUAGGCGGCUUCUUAAGUCAGGGGUGAAAUCCUGGAGCUCAACUCCAGAACUGCCUUUGAUACUGAGGAGCUUGAGUCCGGGAGAGGUGAGUGGAACUGCGAGUGUAGAGGUGAAAUUCGUAGAUAUUCGCAAGAACACCAGUGGCGAAGGCGGCUCACUGGCCCGGUACUGACGCUGAGGUGCGAAAGCGUGGGGAGCAAACAGG
rnacentral:rRNA from 1 species